rfam:Asian citrus Psyllid, Diaphorina citri - Florida Strain, whole genome shotgun sequence.
AAAACGGCCCUUUUCAGGGCCACCAAAUCUUCUGAUCUCCACUAAU